rnacentral:rRNA from 1 species
AUUGAACGCUGGCGGCAGGCCUAACACAUGCAAGUCGAGCGGAUGAAGGGAGCUUGCUCCUGGAUUCAGCGGCGGACGGGUGAGUAAUGCCUAGGAAUCUGCCUGGUAGUGGGGGAUAACGUCCGGAAACGGGCGCUAAUACCGCAUACGUCCUGAGGGAGAAAGUGGGGGAUCUUCGGACCUCACGCUAUCAGAUGAGCCUAGGUCGGAUUAGCUAGUUGGUGGGGUAAAGGCCUACCAAGGCGACGAUCCGUAACUGGUCUGAGAGGAUGAUCAGUCACACUGGAACUGAGACACGGUCCAGACUCCUACGGGAGGCAGCAGUGGGGAAUAUUGGACGAUGCGCGAAAGCCUGAUCCAGCCAUGCCGCGUGUGUGAAGAAGGUCUUCGGAUUGUAAAGCACUUUAAGUUGGGAGGAAGGGCAGUAAGUUAAUACCUUGCUGUUUUGACGUUACCAACAGAAUAAGCACCGGCUAACUUCGUG